rnacentral:rRNA from 1 species
CUACGUGCCAGCAGCCGCGGUAAUACGGAGGAUGCAAGCGUUAUCCGGAUUUAUUGGGUUUAAAGGGUGCGUAGGCGGUAUUACAAGUCAGGGGUGAAAUCUUGGUGCUUAACAUUAAAAUUGCCUUUGAAACUGUGGUACUUGAGUGUAAAAGAGGUAGGCGGAAUGUGUUGUGUAGCGGUGAAAUGCAUAGAUAUAACACAGAACCCCGAUUGCGAAGGCAGCUUACUAUCAUACAACUGACGCUGAUGCACGAAAGCGUGGGGAUCAAACAGGAUUAGAUACCCUGGUAGUCCACGCAGUAAACGAUGAUUACUAGCUGUUAGCGAUAUACUGUUAGUGGCUAAGCGAAAGCGAUAAGUAAUCCACCUGGGGAGUACGUUCGCAAGAAUGAAACUCAAAGGAAUUGACGGGGGCCCGCACAAGCGGAGGAACAUGUGGUUUAAUUCGAUGAUACGCGAGGAACCUUACCCGGGCUUGAA